GUUGUGGAUGAGGAAAUAUCCACAAAGAAAUUUUAAAGUUGCGCUGUUGUAUAUGGAAAGUUAAAAUAUCAAAAAUUGAUACACAACAUUUGGUUACGUACUUCUCAAACUUUCCAACACAGAAACCUCUCAAACCUUCAAAACUCUCAAACCUUCAACAAUGACUUCUUAAAAUGAAGAAAACGAACAAGGAACCAUGGUUACUACCUAAACACUAGUAACACAUAAACGUAGACCACGUGGAGUGACUUCCAUGAAGAAUAUUGUUCGUGCCAGAAGCAAGAAUAUCAAGUUGACGGUUGAUUGAAACACAAAGGACAAUAAAGGUGGAAAUACCUUAGUAAGCUAUAUUGGAGUUCUGGUAAGGAAGAAUGUGUGCAUAAAGUUUAAACAUUGGUUUGAUGAGAGGCUGAAUUCAGUGAAGGAUAUUAUUUGGGAGGAUAUAACCGCAACUUUUGAUGUUGAUGAGCAACACAAAGAUUACAUCAUCAAAACUACUGGCAGAUCUCUCCGACAAGACGAAAAAUUCUAGAAUACCGCAAGAGAGCAUCUAACCCUUUGUAUCCAUAUAGAGCUUCUCGAAUGGGCUAUAGAGGAAUCGAAGAAAAAAAUUGUAAGUGUAACACCCUGGAUUUUAAAGUCAUUAAAUUAUAGUAUCUGUCCUGAGAGUCUCUGUAAGGACCCAAUUUCUACCAUUGAAAUUUUUUCCUUAUUUUAAUCCAAUUUUAUACAUUUAACUAUAAUUUAUAUUUAC